rnacentral:rRNA from 1 species
UGUUUGAUGUUCUAACGUGGACCCGUGAUCCGGGUUGCGGACAGUGUCUGGUGGGUAGUUUGACUGGGGCGGUCUCCUCCUAAAGAGUAACGGAGGAGCACGAAGGUUGGCUAAUCCUGGUCGGACAUCAGGAGGUUAGUGCAAUGGCAUAAGCCAGCUUGACUGCGAGCGUGACGGCGCGAGCAGGUGCGAAAGCAGGUCAUAGUGAUCCGGUGGUUCUGAAUGGAAGGGCCAUCGCUCAACGGAUAAAAGGUACUCCGGGGAUAACAGGCUGAUACCGCCCAAGAGUUCAUAUCGACGGCGGUGUUUGGCACCUCGAUGUCGGCUCAUCACAUCCUGGGGCUGAAGUAGGUCCCAAGGGUAUGGCUGUUCGCCAUUUAAAGUGGUACGCGAGCUGGGUUUAGAACGUCGUGAGACAGUUCGGUCCCUAUCUGCCGUGGGCGCUGGAGAACUGAGGGGGGCUGCUCCUAGUACGAGAGGACCGGAGUGGACGCAUCACUGGUGUUCGGGUUGUCAUGCCAAUGGCACUGCCCGGUAGCUAAAUGCGGAAGAGAUAAGUGCUGAAAGCAUCUAAGCACGAAACUUGCCCCGAGAUGAGUUCUCCCUGAGACUUUAGGUCUCCUGAAGGAACGUUGAAGACGACGACGUUGAUAGGCCGGGUGUGUAAGCGCAGCGAUGCGUUGAGCUAACCGGUACUAAUGAACCGUGAGGC